UGAAAAAACGCAACAUUUGAAAAUUUCUCUAUAUUUAUCAAAUAUUAGAUUAGUAGUAUAUACCUUGAUCAUUGUUUACGCAAAAUAAUGUCGAAAAAUUAUAAAAUUUAGUUUUCAAAUAUUACAAUAGUGUAGAUCAAGUCUAACGGAGUUUAUCGUCGAUUUGGAAGCUAUAUCAUUGAAAAUAAUUUGAAAGUACGGAGGCUUCCGUGCUACCGAUAGUAUACCAGCCUAGCUAUCCUCUGUGCUUUCGAAAGCACAAAAGACGUACUCUCUCUCUCUCUCUCUCAUUAUGGUGCUACCAAGUUUUUUAUCUUUAGAUCUAUCUCUUCCGUCAUUUUCAUUCAUUAAAUCAUACUAUUCCAUUAAUCACUCACUCAACCUUAAAGAACCACUAUCAUUUUAAUGGCACAACUCUUCGUCCAAAAACCCAAAACCUAAUAGUACCAAUGACUUUGUGCUAUUAAUAGUAUAGUAGUCUAGUUAUAUAUAUAUAUAUAUAUAUAUAUAUAGAACUAGGCUACUAUGCUAUUGAUAGCACCAAGUCAUUGGUGCUACCAAGUUUUUGGCCAUUGGAUUAAGAGAUGUGUGGUUAGGAUGAUGUGGGCCCCCUAGGAUUGAGUAGGUGGUUGGUUGAAUAGUAUGAUCUAACGGGUGAAAAUGAUCAAAGGGGUGGAUCUAACGGUGGAAAACUUGGUAGCACCAAGUGCUCCGUGCUAUUAAUAGCAUAGUAGCCGGACUCUAUAUAUAUAUAUAUAGAGAGAGAGAGAGAGAGAGAGAGGCUCCUAUGCUAUAUAUUGUAGCGAGGCUCCCGUACUAUAGUCUCAUUUUCAACUUUAAAUCAAUGAUCUAUAUCGUUAAAACUAAUUUAAAAUAUUUGAAGUUUUUAAAAAUAAAAUUUUAUAUUUUUUUGACAUAGUUUAUUUUAUGACCAAAUCAUUUCAAAAUUGUCAAUUUUCAAUUACUAGUAUGGCGAGUUUGUAAUUUAACGGUGUAGAAAAUCUAAAUUUAUUCAAAUUUUGGCAGAAAAUACUUUUAACUAUUUAGG
rnacentral:lncRNA from 1 species